rnacentral:misc_RNA from 1 species
AAGAAGAAGAAGAAGAAGAAAUAUCCAUCUUCUGCAUGACUGCUUUGGAUUUAGCAAUUUGAUUAUUGGUGAGAUGAUAAGGAGCUGAUCUAGAUUAAGUUUCCAAAUUUGGAAUAACUUGAUCUUUUUGUUAUUGCUGGAAUCCUGCUGUGUAAUUUUGUUAGACUUCAUCUAUUGAUUUGUCACACUUUUUAUUACAACUGAAUGAUGUUGACUAGGACUUUUGAUGUCUUCAGCUUGCAAGGAUUCUUCUGUUCAUU